CCACCACACCCGGCUAAUUGUGCAAUCACUUUUUAAACAAGCAGAUUGUAGGAUGGACAUUGGUAGGAUCUGAUUCCAUCCAUCUUAGAGGGGACCCGGAGAGCUGCAUUUAUGGCAGGUUGCCCUGGUGGUUCUCACCCAGGGCAGGGGCGGCAGCAGGCAGAGCCGUCUCCUCUUCUCCAGGCAACGGCCACAGCAGUAGAGGGGCUCAAUCUGACAAGGAGAGUGAGUCAUUGAAUGAAGCCCCGAGGACGUGAUCUGUCGCCACAGCUGCCAUCCACUGGGCUGCUUUUGCAAGCUUUCCCCAGAGCUUGAGAAAAUGAAUGAAUUUAAAACAUGUGUCAGGGCCUUAAUGAGACUAGUAAACUCCUCAGAGUCCUGCUCUGGUUAAGGUUUGUUAAUUCUGUAAGCCCUUCUGACCAGGGGCCUCUAGCACUGGAGGAUGAGUUGAGGAAUACACUGAAUUAGCAGAAGCUGUGUGACUUUAGGCAAGUUGCUUAACCUCUCUGAGCCUCAGUGUUUUUACCUGUAAACUGGGAACAACAAUUGCCUCAAAAGGAUAGUGCAAAGAUGAACAAGGAUGAGGAACAUGGAUGUCCUCACUGUCAUUAAACAGUCAUGGGAGUUGUCACAUAUGUGCCCUAUGUUUUAAGCAUAAAGUUGGGAGAUGAUGUCUGAAACUGGGGCUUCCACAUCCUUGCACUGCUUUGUGACUGCUGGAGGUUCAAGUCAGGGCAAGUUGUCACCUCCCAGUAAUGGUGAUCCUCUCAAACAGGCAAAAAAUAGAAAAGUGUGCAAAUGGGGUGCAUUUAUUUUAAGGACAUGGGGAGCCUAAAGGAAUGGACAGCUCAGGAAGACCUGGACCCAGGAAUGGGAAAUCCAGAGAGAAUCCAGGAAGGAGCCUUUCCCCUCUUUCUUUCUGGGCCCCCUUCUCUCAUUAUCAUUUCCCCGUCCACGUGGCUCUCUAGGCAGACCAAAGGUCAGACCUUAAAGAGACUCUGUUCAACCUUGAACUUCCUUGCUGACAUGUUUUCAAUUCAAGUGUGUGUGACAAAUCCUAUCAGGCAUUUCCAAGUCCCAACCCCAAAUCCCCAGGCCCAGCUUGGGGGUCUUCAUCCCCAGUCCACCAGCUGCGAGGAAGGGGUCUCGGCUCAGCCCCAGCAUGCUGUGUUGGUGGCUCCCUCCCAACAGGGGUAUCCUUAGAUGAGAAGCAAGCCUAGUAUCCAUAGUGCUUUUCUGAGAGCAGGUGAGCCUUGUUGAAGGCCUCGGGCAAAAAAACAAGCCAGUGAGAGUUGUGUGCACGGGAAUAGCAACAAGGUAAUAUAGGAGAAAGGUCACAGUGGCUUGGAGAUGAAUUCCAGGACACAGCACUGCAGGAGGGACCAUGCCCCUCGAGGCUUCUUAUAUGUGGUUCCUCAGUUCUUGGCUAAGUUAGGAUCCCUGGGCUGACCAACACUGAUGUUUGUACCUGGAGCCAAGUCAUAUUUUAGGCCAAUUCUUUCAUUCCAUGAGAACUUGUCAUCAGAUUUUCCAGGAAGAACAUAAACCUGCCAUUAUAUUUUUGUCUGUUUGGAAGCUUCUUUUGCCCUCUAGAAGCCCAGUGCUACCAAAUCCCAUGAAGAGUUUGUGCUGGGUUCAGACCCUGUUCAGUACCCCAUUCUCAGCUCCAUGGGGGGAAGCUUGCAGCUCUCUAUUGAUGAGAGUCUUGGCUCUCUGCUGUUUCUUGGGUAUCUUUUUGUGACAAGGAUGGCUGGUGCUGGCACGCACUGUAAACGAGGAGGGGAUGGGCCUAAGUUUCCAUCACGCUGCAAAGCAGAACCAUCUGUUGGUGGCUUCUCUGUUAGCCCGUGGCUGUGAAGAGAGCAUUUAACAAUGAAGAGCUGGGGCCAGAGACACGAGUCCUUGGCUCCAGUUCCUGUUUGUCUCCAGGCUGCCGCAUUCCACAGAAGGCAGUAAACUGACAUUCUGAGAAUGUUUGUCUCUGCCAGCCAGGGCUUGGCUAAUCCUGGUGACCUGCAGCAGAUUCCCCACCAAGAAGACAUCCAGUGGAAAGACAGAACUUCCAGUCUAUGCUGAGUAAGAGUGAUGAGAGCAGACAUCCUGCCUUUGUUCCUAAUCUUAGGAGGAAAGCAUUCAAUCUUUCACAGAGCCCACCAUGAAAUCUGUCCCAAAUCAUGGAACCCCGAGGUGAAAGGCCCCCAGGCAUGCCAACACAUGGCAGACAAAUCCAGUUGUGUCCAGGGAUGGCGUUCCCUCCAGUUUUCUGAAAGACGCUCCCAUAUUCCUUAAGCACAGGGAUCUACUAAAGGAUGUGCUCCUUAAAAAUGAGGGAGUAAGCCGAGAAAGAGGAAGAUGUGGGCUCUAGAAAAUGGAAUCCAAUGCAGCAAAAGGCAUCUGAAAAUCAGUGGAAAUCAUCGCCAACUCUCACUCCUCCCAAUUACCUCCUGGGUGGGCUGGAACCUGAGAAAUCUCAUCAGUAAAGCUCAACAGCGUUGCCGAAUGCAUUCUCCUCUUCAGGCUACAAGAGCUUUGGGGUUGCAUGCUGUCACUCAAGAUCAACCGUAAGGGGCUCACAGAGGUCCAGAGAGGCCUCAGUGCUCCCUGAUGUUGAUGCCCCCAAAACCAGUCCAAAUCUAAGCCAGGUGCUCGGACCCACAGCAGCGGUCAGGGCCCUGCAGCCGGGCAGAACGCUGCUCCUCUGCGAACCUAACAGGGACAGGCAGAAGAGUAGAUAGAUGCCCACCCUCCCCGAUCUCCAGCUGAGAUGCACAUUGGCCCAGAACAAGUGAGCUGCCUUGCAGAGCCACCACGAGAAGGAAGCCGAGGCAGGAACAGAAGUGUCUGCUGUCUAUGUGCUAACAUGCACACAGACUGUGCCCCAGUUUCUAGCCCCGAGUCACAGCGAGGCUUCUCUGAGGACACAGUCCUGCUCUUUUGCCUGCCAAGUCAUCGGCUCCCCGCACCUCUAGUGGGAAGCUGUGGGGUGGCCGAGAACUGGGUGAGCCCACCCCCCACCAGAAGGCUCUCUGUUCACCCAGUGACAUCAUCUUCUGCUCCCUGUGAUCUUGGUAAUCCUAUCCAUCCUGUGCUUUCCCCCAGAAAAAUAAAUUAAAGCAGGGCCCUCUGAGUCCCCAAUCUACUUAAUUGUACUGCCUUCACAGUCUUUGUUUGAGAAACAGUCCCCACAGCUCAAGACUCUUCAAGCAUGGAUCUGUAUUGCCAUGAUUAUUUCUGGAAUCUCUUUGAAAUUCCACUCGAUGCAGAAAACAUGUCCCACCUGUCUCAGAUCUCACUCCAUUCAGUCCAUGCAGAGUGGUCUUUCCACCCAGCCCCUCUCCUGGGGAGCCAACCUGGGAAAGUUCCCACACACCUUGUCAGAGCCCCACUACCUGGGCAGUGAUCAGGAGGUUUGCAGAAAAUGGAGAGGCCUUAAUUUACAGCCAAUGAGGUCAGGCCAUCACAGCGAUGCCCAGGGCAGAGGGCAAGAAGGAAUGAGCUCCACAGACGUCCAACUGCCCUCAGGAUUGGAGAAUCCAGACAGCCCCUGCAUGCCUCCUCUGGCUUCAUCCAAGUCAGGACAGAGUCAUCUGCAGGCACAAAUCAACUCCAGAACCUUUCCUGAAUGACACAAAGGCUCUGAAAUCGGUGUCUGCCUCUGGUCAGUUUGAGCCCCUCUCCUGCACUGUGUACAGGAAGAAUGACAGACUUUAUGCAGAAUGCUUUUAAUUUUUCUCUAUGUCAGAGCAAUGCUCAACUCACUGAGCCCUGACUUGCAGGAUGACUAGUUCCAGGGCACCCUGGGGCAAUCCUGUUCCAGGAACAACCUUUAGUGAGCCAGGGUGGUCCUUUUCCAUCCUGCUCACACGUGUGCCAACAAUCGGAUUUUAGUACUUUCUGUGCUCCCAGAGGACUGACUCCUGGGGAUGGCCGCCAUCUGCUCAGCCUCCUGUCACAAGCCUGAGUCCCACCUCGCUGCUAGUCACAGAUCCCAGCCAGCCCGUAGCUCCUGUCCAAACACAAAAGCCAGGUCUUGCAGUAGAAGACAAAUCCCAUGCACCAACUUAUUAAACUAAAGAAGAAGCCAAGUGAAAAAGGCAUCACCAGAAGUAACUUGAAGUUGUUCUGGGCUUUUGGCUUGGUGCCAGUCUAGCUGAAAAUCAGGUAGCUGAGGUGUGGUGGGAAGCUGGAGUCAGAGGGACCAAAGUGGAAAUGAAUGCCCUUGGACAGAAUGCCACAAUAGGCCAAGCACAUGGUAAGCACUUGAUCGAUGCCAGCUACCAUUUUUGCUUAUUUGCUUUUAUUAUUAAUGUUUAAAUUUAUAGACAGUGAAAUGGACUUCCAUGUAGUGUACAGUUCUAUGAGUUUUAAGACAUGUAGAUUUGUGUAACCACCUCCACAAUUAGGUUAUGGAAGACUUCCAUCCCCCAGACUCUGGCCUCAAGCUGCCUUUCAUAGCCAAACUCUUCUCCACCCCCAACCCCUGACAACUGCUGGUCUGUUUUCCAUCCCUAUGGUUUUGCUUUAUAAACUCACGCAGUAGGUAA